AAAGCCCGCAAGGGUGAGUACAGCGGCGCACGGGUGCGUAACACGUGGGUAAUCUUCCUCGGAGCCCGGAAUAACUCCCCGAAAGGGGUGCUAAUGCCGGAUGAGACCACGGGAUCUUUGGAUCCUGAGGGAAAAGGCGGCCUCUGUACACCAGCUGUCACUCCCAGAUGAGCCCGCGGCCCAUCAGCUAGUUGGCGGGGUAACGGCCCACCAAGGCUACGACGGGUAGCUGGUCUGAGAGGACGAUCAGCCACACUGGAACUGAGACACGGUCCAGACUCCUACGGGAGGCAGCAGUGGGGAAUCUUGCGCAAUGGGCGAAAGCCUGACGCAGCAACGCCGCGUGUGUGAUGAAGGUCUUCGGAUCGUAAAGCACUGUCGGGAGGGACGAAUAAGGCGGCGGCUAACAUCCGCAGCUGAUGACGGUACCUCCAAAGGAAGCACCGGCUAACUCUGUGCCAGCAGCCGCGGUAAUACAGAGGGUGCAAGCGUUGUUCGGAAUUAUUGGGCGUAAAGCGCGUGUAGGCGGCCUUGCAAGUUGGGUGUGAAAGCCCUCGGCUUAACCGAGGAAGUGCGCCCAAAACUACAGGGCUUGAGUACCGGAGAGGGUGGCGGAAUUCCCGGUGUAGAGGUGAAAUUCGUAGAUAUCGGGAGGAACACCAGUGGCGAAGGCGGCCACCUGGACGGAUACUGACGAUGAGACGCGAAAGCGUGGGUAGCAAACAGGAUUAGAUACCCUGGUAGUCCACGCUGUAAACGAUGAGCGCUAGGUGUUGUGGGUGUUGACCCCCGCAGUGCCGCAGCUAACGCAUUAAGCGCUCCGCCUGGGGAGUACGGCCGCAAGGCUAAAACUCA
rnacentral:rRNA from 1 species